rnacentral:rRNA from 1 species
UGGGGAAUUUUGGACAAUGGGCGAAAGCCUGAUCCAGCCAUGCCGCGUGAGUGAAGAAGGCCUUCGGGUUGUAAAGCUCUUUUAGUCGGAAAGAAAGAGUUGCAAUGAAUAAUUGUGAUUUAUGACGGUACCGACAGAAAAUGCACCGGCUAACUACGUACCAGCAGCCGCGGUAAUACGUAGGGUGCGAGCGUUAAUCGGAAUUACUGGGCGUAAAGGGUGCGCAGGCGGUCUUGCAAGUCAGAUGUGAAAGCCCCGGGCUUAACCUGGGAAUUGCGUUUGAAACUACAAGGCUAGAGUGCAGCAGAGGGGAGUGGAAUUCCAUGUGUAGCAGUGAAAUGCGUAGAGAUGUGGAAGAACACCGAUGGCGAAGGCAGCUCCCUGGGUUGACACUGACGCUCAUGCACGAAAGCGUGGGGAGCAAACA